AAACUGAAGCAAAACAUAGUUUGGCUCCCGUUUUCUUAGUCCCCGCUCCAUUUCUUUCCUCCCUCCAAAAUUACCUUCCUGUGCUCAGGUAUCUUAGCAGACAAUUCUGCUGUAACAGAUCAUUCUUCUGGUGGUCGUGCUGUCCAGGUGGGUCAUGCAAUAUGGACAGCAAGGAAGGCUUGGAGGGGUGCUCUAUGUUCCUGAUCUCUCUCCAUCAUGCCCAUUUCUGUAGUAUCUGGUUAUCAAUCAAACAUCUGCUCAUGCAAUCCGUGUGUGAUCCCCAUAACUGUAUAUGCAUAUGCAGAAUGCUUAUUUCAAAAACUGCUGCUUACAGUUUUCUAGAUCUCUUUUCUAGACAAACUCAUAGAGCUACGAGGACCUUAGAAGGUAUUUACAAAACCACCUGAAUAAAAACUGUUUUGGAAGUUGGGAAGGAAUGGAAAAAGCCAUCUCUGUUUGUAUCCCUGUAGAUGUGGAAGGAGAUCUUCCUUCAUUAACAGCAAGGAGAUUCAGAAGUGAUCCUAGCCCCACAAGUACUUUCAGAAAACCCUAGACUGGUGCACAGAGGCUGUGAAAGCUAGUCAGUCUGUACAGCGCUCUUGACAUGCUCUCUGCUUAUCUCCUGGUGUUAGGGGCAGAGUUGGCAUAUGGAUCCUGUUGAACUCCAGAAGUGGGAUUUUGAAAAAAAGCGCGAAGCUCUUUUUCCGCCGGCGACAUCAUCAGAAGGACCCGGGAAUGAGUCAGUCGCACAACGACCUUGUCUACCUGCAGCAGCCCCUGUCGGAGGAAACGCGCAAGAAGGGAGGCACGCUUUCACGUAUUCUCAACAGAAAACUCCUUUCCAAAAACAAAAGCAAGAGCAAACUGAAUGGUGCUUCGGCGGAACCAUACGUAUAAGACUGAACACUCUCUGAUGGGAUACUUGCACGUCAGUUGACCAUUUGUUUACAGAGCAGUACUAGAGAACACAAAUAUAGCUGAUGACUUGCAUAAGAUGAUGUUCACUAAUACAGUGGUCCAGGAAUAAACAGAAAGCUUGUCUUUUUUUAUUUAUUUUUCCAGAACGCUUCUUCCCUCUGAUUAUAAAGUUGCUCCUCCAAAUACAAGCAGCACUAAUUGUAUCGUGACGGCUUUUGGAGGACGGUGUGGUUUAUUGUAGAAGAUGAGGGAGAAUGGGGAAAGGUGCAGGUGGGGAGGACCUAGUUUACAUUAAUGGGGAGCUGAGAACUGAAACAUCGUGUCUGCUGCAUGACUGAACCAUUAUACAGAGAGAAGAUACCACUGUGCUUCCUUCCUGCAGCCUGGAAUAGUAGCAGCACAAGUCUCAACUUGUUUUUCUAGUCAGGCUGAAAGGGAAAAGAGAGACUCAGAUCCAGUUUGUAUUGUAAUUUGGAAACGGGUAAGUUUUCAGAAGCAGACCUAAAAUGCUGAUUAAGAUAGCCUACUGUAGUAACUGUAGCCUGCUGUAAUAACUGCUCAGUCCCUGUAGGUGGAGAGAUGCCUUUGAUAUUAGCCAUAAAUCAAUAAAUUAUGCAAAUACUUAUACUAGCAUAUUGUUUAAUGUUCUGUGCAGAAGUUAUGCUUAAAAAAACAGAACUCUUUUUUUAAAGUCUACUUGAGUCUACUCGCAAACAACACAUUUACAAAUUCUCAUGUAGCUUUUCUUCCCUGUGUGAGGAGCUGCGUUGCUAAUGCAAAAACCUGUCUUAGGGGCUCUAAUUCCUUCUCCCAAGUACUUGUUAGACAAGUGUAUUAACCAUCAUAUCCAAUGCAAAGCUAGGAGCAAUAAGUGGUGAAUAGAGCAUAUUUAACCCCGUAAUGCUUUGCACUAGACAGCUUGUUUUACUGGCCAAACGCUUACUGAGAACUUAGAAAACACAGUUGUGAAGAGAGCUUUUAAAAAGAUAAUUCCCUUGGUGGUCUUUCAGUUUCUAGAUCUACUAGUGUUGUCAUGUGGUGAGUGGUUGGUUGGGUGAGGUUUUUUACUUUUUUUCCUCAUUAAAUAUUGCAGCUGGCUCCUUUAAAUUAAAAGGAAAAACUGAUUAAAGUAAAAGUAUAGUUCUUGUUUUGGCUAUUAAGAAGAGUGAAAUAUCAGCCAGUAUUUCACAGGUACCAUCUUUUAUGCAUACCUGUACUUUUCCAUCAUCUACAUUCCUACCGAGGACAAAGGACAAAGCCUGUUCUCUUUAGCCAAGAAAAACAUCCAUUCCAUCUAAAUUACUGACAUGAAUGGAUGAUAGAUUUGUGCCUGCUUUACCAACAGUGAUUUUUCCCCCUGCCCCUGUCCUCCCCUUAAGACAUCCAGCGCUUUGGCUUUCAACUUAAACCAUCCUUCAAAAAAUAGAAAGUCACUGAAGAACAGAAACACAUUUCAAAACUUCUGAUGGACUGUAGAUUCCUACGUAAAUAAUUUUACAAAGAACAUAGAAGUAGAGGGGUUUUGUUUUCUUUUUUUACCAAGAAAACAUUAGAAGAAAUGAACUGUCAAUAUCUUUUAGCUGAGCCUACUGUUUAAAAAUACUGUUUAUGUGUAACCUUCUAAAAUCAGCGUGGUAGUACAGCAGUCCAGACUAUCAAAUAGUUGUACGUUUAAGCAUGCUGCUUAUUAUGAAAACACUUGAAGGCAUUUUAAUCUUCUGUAUUUUGAAAAUUGGUUACAAAUGCGUAUUCUAGAGCUGUAACAUGCUUAGAAGUCCCAGUUCAGUAAUACAGGUUUGCCCAGCUUGUGCUUGAACACUUUGUUUUUUUCUUGUUAAUUUGAUACAAAGCAGAAGUUAGGUUUCUUCACUUGCUCAUGGUAUGAGCAUUAAAAACCCUGACCUUACAUUCUCUCAACAUACCUACUUGGCUUUACUAGGAGCUCUUUGCAUCACGAGGCAGGUUGGGGAGGGUCAAAUCACUGUUGUAUUUUAAAUGCUCAGUCUUGUUUGCUGAUGGAGAAAACCACAGCUGGUCGCUGAGUUCAAGAAAUCAAGGUGAGACUGAGCUCCAUGGGUAGCACCUCCUUACAUUAAAAGUGAAGAGCUAUGGAAUUGGGAAUGCAAAGAGAGCACGUGACACUACUUGAAGUCUAUUUAAAUUACUGAACUGGGAUUUUAAUUUACAGAAACUUCAUCAUGUACUGUAGAAUGGGGUGGAAAUAACACUGAAUCACUUGCAGAAUACAGGAGCAGGGUUUGCUUCUAGCUUACCCCAAAGAACAGGUACACACUGAAGAAGUCUGGGUUUCAUUCCUAAACGUCUUGGUGAUUGCCUAAAUGCGUGUCUUGAUGGUGGGAACCAAGAACGUUCUAUACUGCAAACGGUGUGAAGGUUUGAGCUCACAUAUAUUGAGAGAGAAUAAAUUAUUAAGAUGAGGAAAGCAAGGCAUUGGGGGUAUAAAGGGAAUCUUGUUUUGUAAUUGCCUUCACUCCUCAGGAAAAUAAACAGCGCUUGAUUUGAUAUCCAACCUCCAUACCUGGCUGGUGUGCUCCUCACUUCUUCCUCCUUCUCUACAAAUAAUUUAUGUCCUGCUGUAAAAACAAGCUGAAGUACUAAACACAAAGGGACAAUUGAGUUGCUCAGUCGUGAUGACCCCCAAAUACUGAAUCCCAUUCCCACCUUCCGAGGUGAUGAGGUCAUCAUUUAAGGUGGGGAGAUCUGAGUACCUACGUUUUUUGUGUACUAGUAUUUAGGUCAGUGUGAGUUGGCUCCUGAGAGCCAGCAGGAGCUAUGCUACAGGUUUGGGAAGGGAGGGUUUGUAAACUGGCAUCGCUAUUGCCGUGGUGUAUCCCAUCAGGUGCCACAUGUUUCCUGUGCAGUUGGGUGAAGGACGCCGGAGGGAGUCGUUUUGCUCUUCCAUGUUUUGCAAUCUUCAUCAUUUUAAUAACUACACAUUGGAAGAGUAGAACAAAUCUCUGCAUGAUAUGACAUGGAAAACUUCUUGUUUUCUGUCUCCCAAUUUAAUUACUUUAGAAAAUAGCUUGGAAACCACCUGUGAAAUUUUUCUUCCUUUUUGCCCCUUUUCUUACACUUUUGUGUUUCUGGAUGUUCUGUACAGCAAAGAAGGCACGGUCUUUAUUUUAUGAGAACUAAAAGAUGAAGGCUUGCUUUUCCUUUCUAAAGAAUUUUUCUGUCCAUAAUUGAACCUUCUUAAUCUGUGUUUUUGGUUUAUUUUGCUUUAUUGUAUUUUAGCUUUUCAUUUGUCUUAAUGGAGAGAACCUGCAUCCUUACCGAACCAAGAUUUGCCUUGGCUUUAGUGUGGAUUUUGACCGAGUAAGUGGUACAAGAAUUCAAUUUUUGUCGCUUAAAACAAUAGAAGCACCUAAUAUCUGCAAGCUAAGUAGCUUUCUUAAGGUGACUGAGAUCACUUUAGAAGUCACUUUAAAGAGGAGGCGGUCCUUUAUCCCUAGGUCACCAAUAUUUCACAUUCAGUUCACCCCAGGAAGAAAUGACAGUUGUUUCAUUCCUAACUAUGUAUGAAACUUGUGAAUCUUAGGUGGCAGGAAGGAGAAGGAAUACUGUAGUGGAAAAAAAAGUUCAUAUUCUUUUAAAAGGAAAGUACCUUUGGCAACCUUCUUCAGCUUAAUGGGUAGGUUGUAAACUGUGCAGGCAUAAAUAUUGGGCUUUAUUCUUAACGCUUUCUGUUAGAUUUUCUUUUUCCCCUGCUCUUUGGGAGAGACGUUGGGGCUGCAGGUCAUACAGAGCUGUAGUCGCUGUCUUGCUCUUGAGAGGACUUAUCUUACAGCGCUGCUUUUUUCCGAAGUGUUCUGUAGCCUGGGAUGACACCAGUUUUGAGGAUCAGUGAAAUUUUAUAGCAUUUCCUGGUACUUUUUCAAGUGACAGCUUUCUGCUGUGUAUUUCCUGUAAAGUUUUGGUGUUCUUGAUAUGCAAAGUAUCAUAGGAAAAAGCGCAGUCGACGACAUGAAAUGCCACCAAAAGUGUAUGGGGAAACAAAACUAGACUCUUGCUCUUGUUUUAACAUCUUUUUCAGCUCUGGUAGCUCUGGGUGUUGCAAGGAGCGAGAGCUCUAUACGAAGUGGGAGCCGUGUGGCUUUUUCAUUUUGGUUUAUUGCAGUUUUUGAAUUGCAGAGCUGAAGCUUGAGUAAGCAUUUAUCCUGGUACAGAAUUAAGUAUACUGUAGCUCCGGGCUAACACAUUCCCAUUGUGAGUGGGAGCAGCUGACCUCAUGCUUUGACCUCCACAGGACCUAAGUGGAUUUAUUCAUGCGUUUAAAGUCAGCAUAUGCUUCUGUACAUUGCCAAGCCACAGCCUUGGUGCAAAACAACUUAACUGUAUAACAAGGGUGAUUACUUUAAGUUAAGGGUGAAUAAUAUAAUUUCACUCAGGAUAUCCAAACUGUUACUAUGCAAGGUGCUGGCAUGGUGUGAAAAUAGCUGGGAAGGAUGGGUCUGAGGUCUUUCCGAUACUGUAACUCUGUUGUAUUUCCCAAUAAUGUAUUAUGCUGAUAUUCCAGGUGGGGUAAAACAUUUUUUUCUAGCAUUCAACUGUGAUAGUCACUUCUUCUGUGGUGGGUUUUUGUUUUUUUUCUUUUUUCUGUGUGUACACAAAAUUAAGUUGGUGCAAUUAAGAAGUCUAUGAUGUACAGAUUUAUUAUAUCACUAAAAAACCUGAGGAUUUUUUUAAAGAAAUAACUACUGCUGUACAUACAAUAAAAGCCAAUUGUCUCUG